GAACUCACUUUCUUUGAAUCCCAAUAUCUUAAAAAUCAUGUGGUUUCUUUCUGCUCAGGGUCAUUUGGGCACAGAAUCUGCAUACAGGCCUUUAGAAGAAAACCUGUCAGCUAGCAGUCAUGAAUUUCAAGUAAAUGCACUUGCAGGGUCAAGGUUGUCAAAGACCUCAGUGGAAAAGACACAGCUAUGAUCUCUAGGAGAGGCCCAAGGACUUAUUCACCAUUUCUGCAUACUUUCCUAUGUACAUGAAGGCAACUGUAACCCUCAGUUCCAGAGGAGGAGAAUCUUCUGCCAGGAAACAGAGCAAUCAUUCCAUUAAAAUGAAAGUUAAGAUUUCUCUCUGGCCAUUUUUGGAUCCUCAUGUCAUCAACAGGCUAAAGGGGGAA
rnacentral:lncRNA from 1 species